rnacentral:lncRNA from 1 species
AAUUGAAAGGUGGUAUACUUAAAUGUAAUAAACCCAAACCUUAAACAUGAGUGGUUAUAAGGUUUGCUAUAUGGGAUGUAUAUGUAAAAAUCCCUAUGUAAAAAUCCCUUGAAAGAAAGGUCCAACAGAUUGGGCCUGCACUCGGCCCAGGAGGAAGACAAUUUGUUGAACUCUUGAAAGAGUUGUUUUACGAUGGGCCUCAAGUAGACCUGGCCCAACUCUUAUUUAAACAGAGAUCGUCUUGUUCUGGACCUUAAACGAGUCCAUGUCCUAAUGCCAAUUUUAUUGGGAUCCUAGGUUAUUGGUUUUCAAUUACUAAUGAUUAAAUAACCAAAUCCAAGUGCAGUAUUAUCCCACUAAUCUAAUAGUUGUUGAAGCUGGUAAUCCUAUACGCUUGUGUUUAAAUCAAUGCCUUAGAAGAAAAAUGUCAUUUAAUCUUCAAUAUGUAUUCCUAAUUUAACAUGAUAGUAACCUCUGAAUUAACGCGUCAUAAAUGACCAAAUAUUUAACAGUCCAGCAGUUUACGCAAUCCAGCUAAUUCAAAAUCAGUUUUCAGUCCAAUACAGUCUCAUAUAGAUCCAAAAACAGCUGAUCUAACUAUAAUUAAACAUGAAUAAUUAAGCUACGUAUGUAACAGUUAACAGCAAUUCCAACAAGAAGCAAUUCCUCAUUCAUUGGAUCCAACAGGUGGUUUAUACAUGUGAGCCAACUUCCAGAUCAAGGGACAAUGAAAGUGUACCUGAAAAUGCAAUGAAAUAAAGGAAAAGAGGAGGAUCAACAGUAGUUCGGUCAGACACAAUUCAACCAGAAGCAACAUACUAAUUUUGAGCCAACACAGCUUCAAUAAAACCCAGGUGUGAAGUAAUAGGUGACAGAAUCCGGUAGAAGACAAAAAACAACUCAGUUAAACCCAAAUUUACUUGAAUUUAGACCCAGCAAGUUUCUGAAAUUUCCACAACCAGAAAUAGAACUGGAAGAUGCAACUCAACACCUAGAGUUUGAAAUUGAUUUAGGGGAAAUGAAUGCCACAAUAAUUUUUUUUAUUUUCUAUGGCUUUUUGUGGUUUUUUUUUAUUUUUUUGAAUGUUGAAUUUCAAAAUUCAGACCUGAAAACUACAGAGUACUUUUGGGGGGAGGGGGGGUGGGAUUUUGAGCUCCAAAACUUGUUAUUCAAGGCAAAGGCAUUGCCCUUUUUAUAGGCACAAAUGUGGCUCUUAUCAGAUUUUUCAGUUUUCUAUCCUAGUCCCUAUUUAUUUUCAUUUGAUCUCUUACUUCCUAACUUGUUACCCAAGUUACGCCCUAAGUUGUAAAAAUUCUAAUUUGAAACUCAUCUAGAAGGUUCUAGAGCUUCCAAUUUAGUUAUUUAAAAGAUUCCAUGCCCAUGAACUGCCCCAAUUGCCCUUACUUUAUUCUGAAAUACCCAAACUGUCCCAGCCCCCUUUACCUCAGUUAACAACCAACAUCCAAGGAAUUAAAAAUUCAACUAAACAUGAACCAAUCUUAAAGUUGAAUCAAUUACUCUAACCUACUAAUCAAAACUGCAAAUCAAAUUUAACUGAACGAAUAUUUACUAUACCAAUCACCCUUUUAAUGAAUUUUAACUAUAGUCUAAUUAUCAGCUACAACCAAACCAAGCUUAAAUAAAAAUUAAACUAACCACACUGAUUAUCAAUAGAAAUCCUAAGUGUAUUAAGAACUAACACAUCAAUGAAUCACUCAAUUAAUCAAACGAAACUAAAUCGAAUCAACUAAUGACAAAUAAUCGAACAGAAAUCAAAAUUACCAAAGGAUAGCUAAAUAUGGAUAUUUAUUGCUGAAAUCAAACUAACCAAUUACUAAACAUAUGGCAAGGGAACAUCAUAACUCUUAAUUGAAAUUCUCAUCGCAAAAUAACAAACUAUGAAUAAAAACUAAAUAAUAAAAAUAAAAACAACUGAAAACAAAGAAGAAAAGAAAACACUCACUGACUCGAGUCUAGGGUUCUGCCAUUUUGUCAAUUCCCAAGUUCAAACGAUUCCAACAAGAUUUGAGUGCCAAUGAAGACGGAUUCCACACGAGGAAGGCAAAGAGGUCACAUGAUAUCGAUUUGGUGGGGUUUGGAGAAAUUAGGGUUCGGCCGGAAAUUUCAAAUCCAUAUUCGAACAGCUUGAGUUAGAUUCGAGGGACGGGGUUUGGGGGAUUUGAUAGAGGAGGUCUAGGCGAUUCUAUGGUGUUAAUUUGGUUGAAUUUGGAUGACUUUGUGUCUUGGCAAAAAAAUCAUCGAUCCGAUAUUCGAUGGCCUGGGUUGGGAUACGAGGGAAGUGGAUGGUGGAUUUGUAACGGGGAGGAUAAGAGGAACGAAGGGUGUAAUUUUGGUGGUCAUUGGGGACGGGCCGCCGCCGUGAGCGAUUUCCGGCGGUGGCGUUACAGGGUAUGGUCUCUGGGGUGUUUAGAGACGAUGAUACGGGGGGUGGGGGUGACUCCGACCAUUAUAUUGACCUGGGCCUUCCCAGCCGUUGAUCUAAUCAACCACGAUGGCUGGGAUAUAAAAUCAAAGAAACAGGGUCUUUUCAGUUAUUUAGGAGACGGGCCGGGUGGUGGACUGGGCUGGGUCGGUCUCG